rnacentral:rRNA from 1 species
GACGAACGCUGGCGGUGUGCUUCACACAUGCAAGUCGAACGAGGUAGCAAUACCUAGUGGCGGACGGGUGAGUAACGCGUGGGAAUCUGCCCAUAGGUGGGGGGAUAACUAGCCGAAAGGUUAGCUAAUACCGCAUAUGCCGAGAGGUAAAAGGAGUAAUCCGCCUUUGGAUGAGCCCGCGUCCGAUUAGCUAGUUGGUAGGGUAAAAGCCUACCAAGGCUACGAUCGGUAGCUGGUCUGAGAGGAUGAUCAGCCACAAUGGGACUGAGACACGGCCCAUACUCCUACGGGAGGCAGCAGUGGGGAAUUUUACGCAAUGGGGGGAAACCCUGACGUAGCGACACCGCGUGAACGAAGAAGCCCUUUGGGGUGUAAAGUUCUGUCGGCUGGAACGAAAAAAAUGACGGUACCAGCAAAGGAAGCAUCGGCUAACUACGUGCCAGCAGCCGCGGUAAU